rnacentral:rRNA from 1 species
UACAGAGACUGCAAGCGUUUAUUCGGAUUCACUGGGCGUAAAGGGUGCGUAGGUGGCUUGGUAAGUUCGAUGUGAAAUCUCCGGGCUUAACCCGGAAAUGGCAUUGAAUACUAUUGAGCUGGAGGUUUGGAGGGGGGACUGGAAUUCUCGGUGUAGCAGUGAAAUGCGUAGAUAUCGAGAGGAACACCAGUGGCGAAGGCGAGUCCCUGGACAACACCUGACACUGAGGCACGAAAGCUAGGGGAGCAAACAGG